rnacentral:ribozyme from 1 species
AACAACAAAACAACAACAACAAAACAACAACAACAAAAACAUCAACACACAAAUCCUUUCCUCGUUGGAAAGAAGGACAAGAGAGACCAACAACAACAAACAACAACAUACUGAACAAGAUGGUGGUUGUUCUCAAGAAUUACAC